GACGAACGCUGGCGGCGUGCCUAAUACAUGCAAGUCGAACGCAGUGGGGACGGGUGAGUAACACGUGGGGAACCUCCCAUCAGCGGGGAUAACACUUGGAAACAGGUGCUAAACCGAUACUGAUGGAUGGACACGCGGUGCAUUAGCUAGUAGGUGGGGUAACGGCUCACCUGGGCGACGAUCCCUAGCUGGUCUGAGAGGAGGAUCAGCCACACUGGGACUGAGACACGGCCCAGACUCCUACGGGAGGCAGCAGUGGGGAAUAUUGCACAAUGGGCGAAAGCCUGAUCCAGCCAUGCCGCGUGUGUGAAGAAGGUCUUCGGAUUGUAAAGCACUUUAAGUUGGGAGGCGUUACCAACAGAAUAAGCACCGGCUAACUUCGUGCCAGCAGCCGCGGUAAUAC
rnacentral:rRNA from 1 species